rfam:Sphingomonas sp. Root241 contig_1, whole genome shotgun sequence.
UGGGGAGCCGUGUUAAUCGGACGCGACAGGGAUGAUGAACGCAGGGGUUUUUCCGAUUUCACCCUGCGGCCAACGAAGUGGCAGUCGAGCGUCCCACCUGUCCGGCUC